CACUGUCAAUGUCUACCGCACGGACAUUUGUUGCAGACGGACGCACUGUUCGACCAUUGAAAAACCUUGCCAAAAACGACAAACGAGCGUCGCAGUAAGUCUUGCCAAUGGACCAGCAGGUGGCAGUAGUGAACACUGAGCUCACUCAAACCCACAGUGGAGCUGGCUCCAGCUGCAUGAAAAAUGAGCUCCAACACUAAUAAAGAGAGAAGCGGUUUCAACUUUUAACCCCUCUGGUGUGUCCAAUAAUUAAGACGGUUGCUAUUCAAUUAUGUGAUUCUCAAAGUGCGACCAUCAUAAUUCAUCCGCUGUUUCCCUUGAACUGAACUCCUGAACCUGUCAGCAAAUCCCCCACCUCCGUGUCCUCUGUGUUUCCACACUUGGACCAGUAGUUCUCCAGAUGUACCCAUGAGGCACCAGGAGAGGAAGCGCACCAGCCCCACCGUAAUGACAAGGAAGCGCGCGUGGGUGCGACAAGCGCUGCGGUGUGGCAGGGCGCAUAUUUCGCCGCGUUUUUACGACCCCGCAGUAGCCCUUGACGGUGAUGGCGUCGGCAGCUUCAUUUACUCGCAACAGAGUCCCUCCAAUGUGUUAUGGGAAAUGUUCACUCUGCUUUUAUGUGGCAAGACGUUCAAGUGGGGCCGAAAACCUUCUGUAAAGUCAUAUUGAUCGCUUUAGUCUUUCAACCCUCCAUGAAAAAAAUUAUUAGUUUUUAAAGAUUGAUUGAAGUUUGCAGUAAAAACAAAGUUUUUGUCAUAUAACACUGUAUGACCUGACUGUAGAACAUUAUUAAAUGAUCUUUUGAAAAAUCAUGUCUAUCUGGCUCCAUUUUACACCUCUAAUUGAAUUUUAAUUAUUUUAAAAUUUGUCAUGGGUGGGACCGAAGACGCUGUCAAUGGUUUGCACAUGCAGCCUCGUAGGGUCACACAGCAGCCUUGUGCAAAAGGAGACUAUUGUAUUAUUAUAAUUUCUUGGCUGGAUUAUUUAACUCCGGUUAGCAGCAAAAGUUAAAAAGAAGGAUUUGGACAGUUCUUGAGACAAAUCAAGGUAACUAUAACAGUGGUUUCCUAUAAGCGAAUGGGAUGGGGCCAGAGAGGGGUGAUUUUUCAAAAGAUCAUUUUAAUAGUAUUCUACUGUCAGGUCAUACAUACAAACAUUUUUAACAAAGUGUUGUUGUUGUUGUUUUUUGAACUGCAAACUUCACCUUUAAUAGAAAAAUGAUUGUUGAUUUAUAUUAUCAAUGUGGAAAGCGUUUGAGGAACCCUUUAUCAAAUGUGUUUUCCAUGGCAGGCCACGUUGACAGCCUUACAAAUGUAUAUAGAAGUGGGAGCAAAAAAUGCCCCUGACCCCGAAACUUUAGUUCAUUUCAAGUUAAGACAGGACAACUUGACCACACAUUAGGCAAAUGUAAAAGUAGGUUUGUGAAACAACACGUAAUAGGCCACUUAUGUUUUGAGGCAUAAUCUCACAGCCAAGGCCGAGUGAUGCCACUUGAGAGAAUCUGUACAUUUCACACAGCACACGUAAUUUCUGAUAAACUGCCACAGUAUGACUUGUACACAAAGCACACACUGUCUGAUUUCUCCAUCUGGAGGCUUCCGCAAACCCGACAACAAUAAACUUUUAUGGAGGAACGGGGAUAACUUCUGGACGCUGUGAUUUCUUUUUCUUGGGUGGGCUGGUGGCCUCAAGUCAGUGACGAGCAUCGCGAUGCACAGCUGCAGCUCACGGUGGACCACGAACAAAGAUCUCAUUGGCUGCUUUGGCAGUGUUGAGCCACUUCCUGUUGCCAGAACUCCUAAUUGGAAUGCUGGGUUAGAUAGUUUUUUACGUUUACUACAUAAAAAUAUUGGGUGCAAAAGUUGAAACCUCCAUGGAUGGACAAUGCUGUGUUUAAAGCUGUCCAUGUCUUUUUACCCACAUGUUAAGGUCACUAAUAACAUUUUCUUUGGAAAACUUGGGCCAGAGUAAAGAUUUUCUCAGAAGUCUCAGGUUUCAGCGUUCGUACGUUGAUGGGAAAACUGAUUUGGUGCUUUGUUAACCUGAUGUUGAAAUACAGUACGAUGCUCACCCUGGGGACGUGCCAUCUACUGUAUAAAGUGACGUACAGACAGGUGGCGUCAUGAUUGGCCAUAGGAAAUAAAGCAAA